rnacentral:lncRNA from 7 species
AGUCCUACAGUAUGGUUGACCUGCUUGCAGCACUUCAGAAGGUUUUCCAGCAGCCCUUUGCAGUUAUACUCUGUCCACACUUCACUGCUGUUUUCUGCUUAAGCUGAAAGAAGAAUUCCUUCAAAUUUCCAAAAGGCUGAAGUUGGGUAUGUGGAUGAAACAGAAUGCGUCUCCAGAAUAGAUCAUGUUCAGAUAUCUUCAGCAAAGUAAAAAGGGGCAGAGUUCUUCCGGAAGAUGACUACUGUCACUAGCACACAAGCAUGUGUCCAGCAGAACUCUCAUAAUGCUUGCUUAAGGACUGCCCCUCAUUUUCAGCAAGCUUUGUGUCAGUUCUGAUGUGCAGUUGUAUCAGACUAACUGUUCAGUGAAAUUACAGGACUGGUAGUCUUGCUUCUGCUUGUUCGUUGUACUGAAGUCACAAGGAAGAUCACCUGUAUACUAUCAAAGGUGACAUGUACCUGCCAUCAAGACAUAUGAAAGAUUUGUGUUCAGCAGCCUGAUCUAGUGGAAGGUCUCUGUGCCCAUGGCAGGAGAUUUAUACUAUGUCAUCUCUCAGUCCAGUUCUUUGAGGAUCUCUUCCAGCCCUGACCAUUCUAUAAUUGUAUGAUCUGCCUUUUAGGUAGCCUGGUUUCUAAACUACAAAGAGGACAGCCUUUAACAGUUAGGGUUUUUUUUAUUUUAUUGACAAGACAAUGGUGUGUCUUUAUCACCCUUUACAUGGGGUAUUUGAUUAACUGACUUUCUCAGUGGUGCUGAGAAAAAUGUUUUGAUAUGUGUUUUUUGUUUUUUUAUUUGUUUCACAAGUUCUGAGCUCUCAAGUUCUGGCCAUCUCAGCUGCCUAUCUUCAGAGCCAUUUACUCUGAAAGGAGUAUUUAAGCAAUUAAGUUAAGGAUGUGUUUAAAGGCAUUGUUGGUUUGAGAUGAAAAUGGUCAGCAGCUGUUAGAAACAAGUCCUUAAGCCUUUAUUAGAAUGCAUAAUUAAUCUUCAGACUUGAUGAGAAGGGAAAUAAUAAUUGGGUUAUUUCCUGCCAGGUCUUAAGUGGCUUCAUUUCGUCUAAAUCAAAGUAAUUAAAAGAGACUAAAAAUGUAAAGUUUAUGCAGAAGAGAACUGCAUCUAGGCAAUUCUGGUCUGCCAUGUGAAUGGAUUUCAAGCAGAAUAGUGUUCUCUCUGAAAGCCAUGAAAAUAUUACCAGUUGGAUAUUUUUUUUCUAAUCUUUAGAAUUAAGUAUUUGUCAUUGCUGUUUCUUUUGACUGGCAGGUUUCAAGCUUCCUACCAGAUGCUGGAAUUGAGGUUCUUCUCUUUUUCUUUUUUAAUUAAAGUGACAAAGUCCCAGCAACUACUAAGGAAAAGAUGACUGCUAAGGCCAAUAGAGUUAAUGCACAGUUUAUGUUAGAGUUAAGACACAAUCAUGGAUUUUCAGUGGUUGACUUGUAGACCCUGCUCCUCACGUCAUCCCUCUUCUAUGGUUGGUUAUCUAGAGAAUCUCUGUCUGUCCUUAAGGCAGGCCUUCCUUCUCCUUAACGGCCCUGUCAGUAAGUCCUUAAUGCUAAGCAGAAAGGAUUGCUUUGGUUGUGCUUGGGAAGUAAUUGACUAAAGAUAUGAAGUAAUGAUGGUGUAGUAAAUCAUGUAUCAUGAUAAAUAGCACUUGUAUGACACUGAAGGGAAAGAAUGGAGAUGGAAAGUCGUUCGAAGUCUAUCUAGGGUUUAUGAUAUCCUGUGCACUGUUUAAAAAGGUUUACAUCUAAUGGUUUGGCAAGGCAGGAACACUUUGCAAAUAACACUUUGUGGAGUAAGGGUUGGCAUCCUCCCAAUAGAAUGAAACGAAGUUUACAUUUUAGUUUUUACAGUUGGCUAAAAGCAAUAAAGUGCAACAAUGUUAUUGUAUUUCAGUGAGUUUUUAGGGUGUGAUAAUAUAUAGGUGAUAAUACAUAGGAAUCAUAUGCCCAACCACUAAAACCACUACUUCUGCACCUGAGAAUAGGCAGACAAGUGGUGCUGGCCGUACUUCUGUGCCAAAGAUGAUGAUGAUCUGUGUUGUCUGUGAAAGCGAUUGAUCAGGGCACAAGCAGAGUUCCUGGCCUGUUGAUAGCCUGGGAUUAUCACGUUGUCAUGACGAAGCCAUACUAUCCUGCAGUCCUUCCACACAUCUAGAAACUAGCCUUGAAGCAAGAAGUGUGAAAUGAAAUUCUGGUCCAGCUUUCAAUACCACACUCAGAUAGAUUUGACUUCAGUGAAAGCUAUUUUUUUUUUUUUUACUGUAGGCCUUCUGAACACAUAAAAAUAAAAUGAAGAUGGUG